UACGUAGUGGCAAGCGUUAUUCCGGAAUUACUGGGUGUAAAGGGCGUGUAGGCGGUUUCCAAGUCGGAUGUGAAAGGCAAGGCUCAACUUUGCUCGGUCAUCCGAAACUGGAGAUCUUGAGUGUCUGAGGGGAAAGCGGAAUUCCUGGUGGAGCGGUAAAAUGCGUAGAGAUCAGGAGGAACACCGGCGGCGAAGGCGGCUUUCUGGCAGACAACUGACGCUGAGGCGCGAAAGCGUGGGGAGCAAACAGGAUUAGAUACCCUGGUAGUCCCU
rnacentral:rRNA from 1 species